CGAGAAUACCGAGGGGCGCGAGAUAACUCUCUCUAAGGAACUCGGCAAAAUGGCCCCGUAACUUCGGGAGAAGGGGUGCCACCGCAAGGUGGUCGCAGUGAAGAGGCCCAGGCGACUGUUUACCAAAAACACAGGUCUCCGCUAAGUCGCAAGACGAUGUAUGGGGGCUGACGCCUGCCCAGUGCCGGAAGGUUAAGGAAGCUGGUCAGCGUAAGCGAAGCUAGCGACUGAAGCCCCGGUGAACGGCGGCCGUAACUAUAACGGUCCUAAGGUAGCGAAAUUCCUUGUCGGGUAAGUUCCGACCCGCACGAAAGGCGUAACGAUCUGGGCGCUGUCUCGGAGAGAGGCUCGGCGAAAUAGAAUUGUCUGUGAAGAUGCGGACUACGUGCACCCGGACAGAAAGACCCUAUGAAGCUUUACUGUAGCUUGGUAUUGUGCCCGGGCUCUGAAUGCGCAGGAUAGGUGGGAGGCUUUGAUCCAUUGCUUGUGGGUGAUGGUGAGCCAACGGUGAGAUACCACUCUUUCAGAGCUAGGGUUCUAACGGUCACCCGUCAUCCGGGGACCGGACAGUAUCAGGUGGGCAGUUUGACUGGGGCGGUCGCCUCCUAAAAGGUAACGGAGGCGCGCAAAGGUUUGCUCAGGCUGGUUGGAAAUCAGCCGACGAGUGUAAAAGCAGAAGCAAGCUUGACUGUGAGACCUACAAGUCGAACAGGGACGAAAGUCGGCUUUAGUGAUCCGACGGUUCUGAGUGGAAGGGCCGUCGCUCAACGGAUAAAAGUUACUCUAAGGAUAACAGGCUGAUCUCCCCCAAGAGUUCACAUCGACGGGGAGGUUUGGCACCUCGAUGUCGGCUCAUCGCAACCUGGGGCUGAAUUCGGUCCCAAGGGUUGGGCUGUUCGCCCAUUAAAGCGGUACGCGAGCUGGGUUCAGAACGUCGUGAGACAGUUCGGUCCAUAUCCGGUGCAUGCGCAGGAAUAUUGAGAGGAUUUCUCCCUAGUACGAGAGGACCGGGAGGAACGCACCUCUGGUGUGCCAGUUACCGUGCCAACGGUAAACGCUGGGUAGCCAUGUGCGGAGAGGAUAACCGCUGAAAGCAUCUAAGUGGGAAGCCCACCUCAAGAUGAGUAUUCCCAUGGCGUUAGCCAGUAAGGUCACGGGCAGAACACCCGUUGAUAGGCUCUACGUGGAAGCCGGGUAACCGGUGAAGCGGAGGAGUACUAAUAGACCGAGGGCUUGACC
rnacentral:rRNA from 1 species